rnacentral:rRNA from 1 species
AUACAGAGGGUGCGAGCGUUAAUCGGAAUUACUGGGCGUAAAGCGCGCGUAGGCGGCUUGGUCAGUCGGAUGUGAAAGCCCCGGGCUUAACCUGGGAAGGCCAUCUGAGACUGUAUAACUAGAGAGCAGUAGAGGUAAGGGGAAUUUCCGGUGUAGCGGUGAAAUGCGUAGAGAUCGGAAGGAACACCAGAGGCGAAGGCGCCUUACUGGGCUGCAUCUGACACUGAGGCGCGAAAGCGUGGGUAGCAAACAGGAUUAGAAACCCCAGUAGUCC